CUAUGCUUGGUUGGGGCUGAGGUCACCAAGAGUCCUCUCAGAGGGACGUUACUACACGCGCUGGCGAAGCCCAGGAGAAUUUAGAGUCGCGGUGCGAGAAUUACUAUCUGUGAAACGAGGGCUGCCUUUUCGAGCAGCCAGCUUUGUGCAGAGACGUCCCGGAGCCACGAGAGACUAACGGCUAACCCGAGGGAGGGGGUAGCGAGGGUGAUUCCAGGCACUUUGUGGAGAGACGAGCUAUGGCUAAGGAAGAAUCCACUUUGAAGAGCAACCCCCGCCCCUGCCCGAUACGUUACUUCCGGGGCGGGGCGGGCAGAGGGGCCCGGAUGUGCCGCCGUUUUUUUUCUUUACUGAGGCGCCGGCGGUGUUCUUGGUCGCGUCAGCCUGCUGGCUUUUCGCUUUCCUGGACGCUUCAGGGCUCCGCGGCCUGCGCUGGACUGGAGGGUCCGCGUCACUCUCGCCCUCCUGCUUUCCGCGCUCUGACCCACUCCCGCCUCCUGAGGGUACGACUUGGAGGAGCGCGGGCGGCGGGGCGUGAGCGAGCAGCCUCUGCCGCCAUCUUAGAGAAGGCGAGCGUGGGGUGCGCGUGGGCGCGAGCCGGCCUCCCGCGGUCCCGCCGCAGAGUGGCGCGGAGAGGUGAGGUCCAAGCGUGUCCGGCCCUCACUCCAGAACGAAAAGGCGAGGUCAUCACUCCCUGCUUACAGGGCUGGGAGUAAGUGCCUGUAGAGAGCAAGAAAUUGCCCUGCCCAUAGGCUGAGAAAACGCAUUUGGCGAGUCCUCUCGACGGAGGACGUAGAGGGGCGGGGUAACUUACACCUGCCUGCGACACCAUCCUGUUAGUUUCUAGUUCUAUUAGUUUAAGCCCUUACGUGCUUAUCCCUCUUUAAAGACUGAACCGGGGCUUGAGCUCAAGCCUGGAUCCUGUUACCUACCUUGCCCUCAGCCCCACUUACUCAGCCUACUGUAGCUGAGGGUCUUGCUGUUUCCGGCUGAAUUGAGAUAGACGAAUGGCUUCCGUCUGUGUUGAAUGUUGUUAACACAACCUGCCAUCUCAAAACACCCGUUGAUAAGGCACAGCCUCUAAUGCCUAAUGGUUCGAACAGACUCCUCCAGUUCUCUGCAGACUCGAGUCCAGCAGGCACAUGCCCCCAGGCCCUGCCAAUACCCAGAAUCUCCCAACAUUUGCCACUAAGCUGCUUAUCCAAGACAAUGACAUAUUGGAAGCAGAGCCUUAGGAAGUCAGUUCUCCUCUUGAGGCUUAAUUUUUGCACCUGCAAAUAAGGGAUUUGGGCCGGCAUGAGUUCACCAGCGCUAAAAUAAUACUGAGCUCAUUCUGUGUCCCAGAACUGGUGCGAAGUGUUUUACAUACGUUAUCUCAUGUAAUCCCAACAACACCAGUGCUAGGUAAUAUUCGCAUUUGAGGAAAAACAGGCACAGAGUCCUAAAAGUCCGUGGUUUUAGUUUAUGGCUGCGUGCCAUGGAAUACAAGGUUACCGUGUUUUGGGAACCAGCUAGUUUGGGUACAUUUUAAAAAGUAAUAUUGUUGCCUUUGAUAAUCUCAUGAGUUAGAGAUGUUCUUACAAUAAUAAUGUGUUGCAGUAGUGAACAGUGGUGAGCCUAGUGCUAAAGCUAAAAGGUUUCCUGACCCACUGUGGUAGUAAGGGUUUCUAGUCAGACAAAUGACUGUGGUGACCAAUGUGGGUCCCAUUGUACAUACAGAUGGGAAAUGAGGUAUAUAUUCCAGCUUUAUGAAAACUGGUAGUCAUUAUGAAUAUUCACUUUAUUACAUUUACUGAUAAAGUCUUCAUUCCUAUAAUGGUGUGUAGGGCUUUAUGCUCACACUACAUGGCUCUCUGAAUCGCUUUGUUUUUUAAGUUCCAUUGUCUGUUACAGUUUGCCUGUCCCUUCUUUCAUUGUCAGCUGUUGCUUUUUACUGCUGUCAGUGAACAUAGUUCUAUUAUCCUCACCACCCUUUUAAUUUACUACUCUUAAUCUACAGGCAAGAAAACCACAUAGUGAAGCUUGUGCAAAACUGUAUCUCAAGAGUAUAAAUAGUUACUUUGAGGGACUAUUAAAAAAUAAGUGCAACCCUUGUGCUAGAACAUUAUAAAAUUAGUUUUAAGCUGCCUAAUUUUUUUUUUUUAAUGCCUUACAGGUUUGGUCUUUUCCAGAAUUAGGAAUAGAUACAUUUCCUGAAGUUAAUUCUUGAAACUUUAGAAUUUAAAAUAUUUUCCCAUGUUUUAGGAUACUUGAUGAUGAUACAAUUCUAGCCAUAUUGAGGUUAAUAUUUGAAGUGUUCAGUGUUACUGCCUGAUAGGGUUUGGCUUUGUGUCCCCACCCAGCUCUCAUGUCAAAUCGUAAUCUGCAUGUGUUGAAGGAGGGGCCCCGUGGGAGAUGAUUGGGUCCUGGGGGCAGUUUCUGAUGGUUUAGCACCAUCCCACUAGUGCUGUUUCAUGAAUGAGUUCUCAAGAGAUCUGGUUGUUUAAAAGUAUUUAUCACUACCCCUCUCUCACCUGCCACAAUAUGAAGAAAGUCCUUGUACCCUUCACCUUCCGCCAUGAUCGAAAGUUUCCCUGAGGCCUCCCAGUCAUGCUUACUCUUAAGCCUGCAGAACUGUGAGUCAGAAUGAUUGGAAGAGACAUGGAAUAACACAUUUGUAUCUGAACUACUUGAAGAGAAAUCUGAAGCCCUGAUUAUAUAUAUAGAUUAUGCAUUUCGUAAGUUACUUUUAACACAUUCGUAGUGGUACAUUUUCUUUUCUGUAUUAUCUAUUAGGGUGUUUUUGCCUAUUCAUAUCCACUGCAUAUUCAAGGACUUAAUAAGUGUUUUCAUUGUUAAUAAUUUAAAAAAGAAAGGAUGCAUAUGAAAAGAUAAAAUACUGCUAUGUGAUAGGCUUGCUUCUGAAAAAUAUCAGAGUUUUGAAAAGUAAUAUAGUCUGUGGCACCUUAUUGUUGAAUUUGUGAUGAAUAUUUUUAAUAAGAGAGAAAUCACACCUGUUUUAAAUUUUUUCAUUUGAUUAUAUCCUAUUUUCUUCAAUUGAGAGAGAGAGAUGUAGAGUCUUGGAUUCUCUUAUAUAAAAUGUAUUGUUUCAUUUCUACCAGUAUUUAUUGAGCACUUAUGUAGAAUACUGGAUAAUUAUAUUACUGGAUUACUAAUUGCCUUUACUAGAUCUGAAAUUCUGUGGAUAUGUGAUAAUUAUUAAAAAAUGACAGAGAGUGAUAGGGGCCAAGAUAAUUCAAAACUGAACAUAAUUUGCCACCAUUCUCUGGAGCACCCUCAAGCCUACCUAUCCCCACCUAAAGUAUGUUUUGGUUUUGAAAACAGUGCAAUAAUAUUUUCUGCUAGAUUUGUCUUUCUUUGUUUUCUUUAAGUAAUACAAACCAGCUGAUUACUCAGCAGUUCUGAAGAGUGUGUGUAGAGUGUGUAUGCCUAUGUGUACACACGUUUGUGUUCAUCUGUGUGUCUUGGAAUUACAUUUUUACUCCAACACAGAAAGAUGAUAAUGGAAUCAUAAGUUGACUACCUUUGCUUAACACCAAAGUAAAUUACCUUUUGAUGUACACAUGCAGCUUUAAAAGAAAUAGUCUGGGGCCAGGCGCGGUGGCUCACGCCUGUAGUCUCAACACUGGGAGGCCGAGGCAAGUGGAUCACCUGAGGUCGGGAGUUUAAGACCAGCCUGACUAACAUGGAGAAACCCCAUCUCUACUAAAAAUACAAAAUUAGCCGGGUAUAGUGGCACAUACCUGUAAUCACAGCUACUUGGGAAGCUGAGGCAGGAGAAUCACUUGAACCUGAGAGGUGGAGGUUGCAGUGAGCCGAGAUCACACCAUUGCACUCCAGCCUGGCCAACAAGAGCAAAACUCCGUCUCAAAAAAAGAAAUAGUCUGGAAACAAUUCAAAUGUGUAUCAAUAGGAGGAUGGGAAAACUGUGGGCCCAGCACAAGGACUAACACCUGUAAUCCCAACACUCUGGGAGGCCAAGCCAUGAGGAUCACUUGAGGCCUGGAGUUUGAGACCAGCCUGAGCAACAUAGCAAGACCCUGUCUU